AACAUACUUGCUUUUAUGGAAAAAGUAAUUAUAAUUUAAAUUUAGUGUAAUUUAAUUUGACAGUGUAAAUAUAUUAUUUACAUUUGUAAAAUCAUUUAAAAUUCAAAGGGCAAAAGUAGUUUUUGCCCUUUAAUCAUCGUAUG
rfam:Rickettsia bellii OST 85-389, complete genome.